rnacentral:rRNA from 1 species
AACGAACGCUGGCGGCAUGCCUAACACAUGCAAGUCGAACGAGACCUUCGGGUCUAGUGGCGCACGGGUGCGUAACGCGUGGGAACCUGCCCUUAGGUUCGGAAUAACUCCCCGAAAGGGGUGCUAAUACCGGAUAAUGUCUUCGGACCAAAGAUUUAUCGCCUUUGGAUGGGCCCGCGUUGGAUUAGCUAGUCGGUAGGGUAAAAGCCUACCAAGGCGACGAUCCAUAGCUGGUCUGAGAGGAGGAUCAGCCACACUGGGACUGGGACACGGCCCAGACUCCUACGGGAGGCAGCAGUGGGGAAUAUUGGACAGUGGGCGAAAGCCUGAUCCAGCUAUGCCGCGUGAGUGAUGAUGGCCUUAGGGUUGUAAAGCUCUUUUACCCGGGAUGAUAAUGACAGUACCGGGAGAAUAAGCUCCGGCUAACUCCGUG